AGCUAUGAGGGCAGAGGCAUCCUUUCCAGUUCUUUGAAGAUAGGGACAGAUGAGGAGAAUCACAAAUCAGAAAGCACUCAAGAUCAUCUCAUCAGUUUUUGUAUUUUCACCUCAACAAGGGGCUUGUCCAGCCCAACCUUACUCACACCUCCUAUUUUCAAGAGCUAGGUUCUGCACCUGCUUCCGGCCUACUUGAGAUCUUCCAGAAAGAAGUCGGCAGCGUUUCCACUGCUCGGCCAUGUUCCUGUUGCUCAUCCCAGUACUGGGGCUGCCUUUUUCUCUGAGGGAUGCCAGAGCCCAGUCAGUGACUCAGCCUGAUAAACAUGUUACCGUCUCUGAAGAAGGCUUGCUGGAGCUAAAGUGCAACUAUUCCUAUAGUGGAGCUCCUUAUCUCUUCUGGUAUGUCCAGUACCCCAGCCAAGGCCUCCAGCUGCUCCUGAAGUACUUAUCAGGUCCCCCCCUGGUUGAAGGCAUCAAAGGCUUCAAGGCUGAAUUUAAGAAGGAUGAAACCUCCUUCUACCUGAGGAAAACGUCAGCCCUUUGGAGUGACUCGGCCAAGUACUUCUGUGUUUUGGGUGACACAGUGCCCAAGUCUGCAGGGGGAGCUGAACACAAACUCUGAGAUGCUAGGGAGGAUAAGUGCACCUGGAAGGUUUUAGAUUCUGACAGAGUAGAAAUCUUGGUGUUUUUAUGACCCAAUGUAUGGAAGCUCAAGACCUUGCUGAGCUGGUGUGGGGCAGAGGAAUGUAAAGUGGUUGGAUAUGUGAGUGGGACAUGGACCAAAAGGGUUUUUCUUUUCUUUUUUUUGUCUUUUUGUCUUUUCUAGGGCCACAACCGCAGCAUAUAGAGGUUCCCAGGCUAGGGAUC